UACAGAGGUCCCAAGCGUUGUUCGGAUUCACUGGGCGUAAAGGGUGCGUAGGUGGUGGGGUAAGUCGGAUGUGAAAGCUCGGAGCUUAACUCCGAAAUUGCAUUGGAUACUAUCCGGCUAGAGGAAUGGAGGGGAGACUGGAAUGCUUGGUGUAGCAGUGAAAUGCGUAGAUAUCAAGUGGAACACCAGUGGCGAAGGCGAGUCUCUGGACAUUUCCUGACGCUGAGGCACGAAAGCCAGGGGAGCAAACGGG
rnacentral:rRNA from 1 species